GCCUCAUGAGGAAGGCAGGCGCUGUGGGAUCAGGGAGGAGAGCCCCGUGGGACAUGCCAAGGGUGAGUUCUCAUCGCUGUGAGGAACCAAGGGCACUGACUGCACCCUCCUGCAGUGCUGUGGCUUCACAGGUUCUCCAGAGCUGGGGACAUUCCGUUUUACAGACUGCAUCCGUUUCCUUGGACCAGGUGGGAUUAGAGGUGUUGAAGAGCAAGUUGGGAGAUAGCAGGGACCUCGGCUCAGAGUGCAGAGCCGCUGUCCCUGCGAUGCUGCCUGCAGCCUGGCAGUGUCUCUUGCAGAUUCCUCUGCAGAGGCUGCCUGGAGACCUUGCUCCUCUUCCCCUGCUUGUAUUAAAGGGCCCAUAAAAGGGGGCGAGGAACCUGCCGACCCCGAGGGCAGGCUGCUCUGCUGGUGAACGCGGAGGAAGCAGCAGGCGGGACGGCCCUGCACUGAAAGAAGGAGGCAGGGAGAGGGGAGAGCAUCGCUCCGAGGGAGAGCCGCAAGCGAAGGAGCUCUGAGAAUGACAAAGGCAGCCGAGCACUCACCCGCACUCCGCGCUCCCGGGACCUCCCGCUCAGCUCCAGCCCAGGCUGGUCCUGCGGUGUCUGAUCACUGCGGGCGCCUCCUGCCCAGCACGUCCCGGGCUGCCAGGCCAGCUUGUCUUUUAAAGGUCACAGCCAGAGGACCUUGCAGCAAACAUAAGGUGCUGAUGGGAAGCUCUGUUCCAGCGUUGCCACCUCCUCCUCCUCCCUGCUCCUGGCCCGGGAGCCCAGCAUCCCCUGGCUGUGGGAGGGAUGGGGCUGUCCUCCGGCUGCUGCUGGGAGUGCGGAUGGGACAGGAUGCUCCAGGGCAGCCGGGGCCGGUGCUGCGCCUGCUGCAUAGAGCUGGAAGGCUGCAGCCCAACUGCUCUGCUCAGCCCUACCCAGGUACCCACGUGGAGGGAAACAGGAGCCCUCCUCGGAGAGCAGCCUGGCACUUUAACCCUCCCCACUCCAUUAGUGCGAGGUGGGAGGGAGAGAGGGGUACCCAGGGGCCUCACAGCCACUCUGAUCCCUCUGCAGGCUGUAAGCCAGCUGGCAGGACCCCUGCACCUUUCUUCCUGUCCCCCCCCAGAGGUGACAGUGUCCGAGCAUGGUGCUCGCCCUCCUUGAAACCGGACACAGCAGCUUUGUGCUGGACUCAGCAAAACAAGUUCCGCUGAGCCACAGUAUCCCUGCUCCCAUGCCGGACAUCUCAGUAUCAUGCUAAAACCCCAGGGCCAGCUGCUCUGUGCUUCCUUCCUGGCCACAGCAGACACCAUUCACUGAGGUCAGGCUGCGGGACAGCAGAGCCUUUCCCAGGCCUGUGGCAGCAGCACAUGUCUCAGGAGAGCAGUCAGCCGAGGAGACUGGCCAGAGCUGCCAAGUGUGACAGCUCCAUCAGGCUCCUGUGACAGGCAGCAUCCCUCUCCGAGCCCCAGGCUGCAUGGCCAGGAGAGCACGGCACCAGGCUCAGAACCCUCCUUCUCCAGAGAUGUCAGCGGGGACAUAAUGGGCAGCAAACAGGAAGAAGUUCAUGUGUAACGGCCUUUCCCUUACCCAAGGGUAUGGGUGCUACUCUUUCAUGUCCCCAGUGCUGCAGGUCUCUCUGGUCCUGCUUGCUGGAUGCUGGAGGGUCCAGCCUCAGCCUCAUCUGCCCCCUGCUUCAGCAUCGGUGCCUGUGGUCCUA